UACGGAGGGAGCUAGCGUUGUUCGGAAUUACUGGGCGUAAAGCGCACGUAGGCGGAUACUUAAGUCAGGGGUGAAAUCCCGGGGCUCAACCCCGGAACUGCCUUUGAUACUGGGUAUCUCGAGUCCGGAAGAGGUGAGUGGAAUUCCGAGUGUAGAGGUGAAAUUCGUAGAUAUUCGGAAGAACACCAGUGGCGAAGGCGGCUCACUGGUCCGGUACUGACGCUGAGGUGCGAAAGCGUGGGGAGCAAACAGG
rnacentral:rRNA from 1 species